rnacentral:lncRNA from 1 species
UUCUUAUUACGUUGCACAUUCGACUUUGUAAUAUCAUUUUUGUUCGACUUCUUAUAGAGUGAUUCCUACAUGAAUCCACCUUAAGUUAGCUUAGAGCUAAAUUCAGUACUCUAGAUUUUGGUUUAUUUUCGGUCCCUUGGUUUUCUCUUAGGCCUUCUUACAAUGAGCUCCUUGUUUGUUUAUAUUUGUCUAAUGAGCUUGUAUUUUAACUAUUUUAUUAUAUCCUCAUUCGACAAAAUGUACCCACAUUCCCGUGACGUGUAAUAAUUUUACCGAUUU